GUCCCUGUAGCACAAUGGAUAGCGUGUUGUACUUCAAAUUCAAAUUUCGUGGGUUCGAAUCCCACCUAGGAUG